AUCCGCACUCCUGUGCACAGGGUCCGGGCCGAACUUUGUCUUUCAAGGCUGUGCGGCAACCAUGCUGUGAUUGGUCGGAAUUUAUUGUGGGCGUGAUGAAAGUGGAGAAGCGCAAGAGCCUCUCCAGGUAUAUAGGUAGGUGUGUAAACAGCACUGAUUCAACAGAUUUAGAUAAGACCAUACUGGUUUUGCAUGAUGAGCAAUAAAAGAAAGAAAGAAAGGCAAGUCAGGGUGAUUUGUCACCAAUAACUCCAGACAGCCAUUCACACAUACCAGAUGGUGACUGUUAUUACCAUUCUAUAUACUCCUACAUACCCGGGCAUAAUAGGCUCGUUAACAAUGUCUGUAUAUCUUUGCUAUUGUUACUUUUAAUGUCGCAUCUUCACAGCUCAUCACCGGACAGUUUGAAGUAUCGCAGGCACAUUGGAACACAGUAGAUGUGCAAAUGUGGUCAUAAAGGCACAAACACUGAAUCUUUGCUAUUGUUACUUUUAAUGUCGCAUUUUCACAACUCAUCGCCGGACAUCUCACGCUGUUGCAGGCACCCUCUCUGUGUAAUGCCCUCUUGCCAUGGCACAAGUCCUUGUGGUGUGUUAAAAACUCAGUAAAGUCUUUCCUUAUAGUUUAGUGGGCGGGCCGUAUGAGGAGUUCUGCACACACGCGUCUCGCGGAGUAUGGUACCUCAGUGCGGAAAAGACCUUUUUUUUGUAUCUCUUACCACCCGUGGAGCACGUUCUCCGCUCUUUGUCUCGCGGAGUAUGGAUCCAGCUUGGUUUCUGGUGUCUGCAGUGGUCUUACUGGUCUUUGCAAAUGUAUGCUCUUCUCUUCACAUUUGACAGUUCAUGGCAUAUAAAUUAUGGUUUAAUAUUGACACAAACUUCUGUUCACAGCCCCAGAGGAUUGAGAUGAGACAUGACUCUGCUCUCUGGGACCUCAGACUGUACCUUGGUGUAAAAGAAGAGGAACUUUUUAAAGAUUGCCUGGUGGGCUGCUGGGUGGAAGACAUGGAACACAUCCUGAAGAUCUUCAUGUACCAUGAAGUGGAAGCAGAGGAUCCAGUGGAAGCCUCCAUCCUUCUUGAAGGCAGGGGUGUAGUGGCAUGUGUGCUCCUCAUUGGGACUUAUUUAAGCACUUAAGUUUGACUACACUCAACCACUCCCCUACACAUUUGAAGUCUUGCAGAACUGUCUUUAAAAGCAAGGUACUAAUAGACUUAUGUAUUGUUACUGUUGUCAAUCAGAUAUGUCUCAUGUCAUACACACCAUUUCAUAUUUUAUGCUGAGGUCAAAACCAGUGACAAUUUCUUAUUUUUGGUAACUUUAUGUUAUUACAAGGAAACUGAAACAUCAGCAGCCUCCAGUACCAUUGUCCUUUUUCUAUGACCGGUCUAAAUCAGUGGGUAAAUGUUUUAUAAAUUGAUAUAAGUCAUGCCACUGUGGCCACUGUUACAAUUAUGGAUGCUUAGAUCAAAUUGUUCAACAC
rnacentral:lncRNA from 1 species